rnacentral:rRNA from 1 species
AGGACGAACGCUGGCGGCGUGCUUAACACAUGCAAGUCGAGCGGAAAGGCCCUUCGGGGUACUCGAGCGGCGAACGGGUGAGUAACACGUGAGCAACCUGCCCUUAGCUUCGGGAUAGCUCCGGGAAACCGGAAUUAAAUACCGGAUAUGACUAUGGCCGACAUCAGCCAUGGUGGAAAGUUUUUUCGGCUAGGGAUGGACUCGCGGCCUAUCAGCUAGUUGGUGAGGUAACGGCUCACCAAGGCGACG